GAACACCAUGUGAACAUCGAGGUGAGAUUCGAGCAAUGUGUCCACAACCGAGGAACACCAAGGACUGCCAGCGACCCCCCGAGCUGGAGAGAGGCUUGGAACAGAGCCUGCCUCACAGCCUCAGAAGGAAACGACCCCUGCCCACACCUUGAUCUUGGACUUCUAGCCUCCAGAACUUUUACUUAUUCUGAUGUGCCAUGUAAGUGAAACCAUGCAAUACGGGAACGUUUCCAUUUGACUGUUGUCAGCUGGCGGCACGUUUUCAAGGUUCGCCCAUGUUAUACCAGGUAUAGCACUUCAUUCAUUCUGCGGCUGAAUAACACUCUAUUAUACAGUGUGGAUAGACUGCACUUUGCUUCUCCAUCCAGCCAUUUAUGACACUUGGGUUGCUUCCACCUUUUGGCUAUUCUGAGUGAUGCUGCUGUGAAUGUGGGCAGACACGUAUCCGAGUCUCUGCUGUCCAUUCUUCCAGGUGCGUCCCAGAAGCAGAAUUGCUGGAUUGUGUGGUCGCUCCAUGUUCGACUUUUGAGGAACCUGAGCAGAACUUGGACCACCGCCCUCCCACUGGGUUUACUGGUGGUUUCUCUGUUCCCCUCCCCCAUCCUGGUUCUGGUGUACUCUGAAUGUCCCUUACACUCCCUUCCACGGCCACACACUAAAUUCAGGGAACAUCUCAAUGGCCGCAUCAGGUCACAAGACAUGCACCCAUUGGCCCCAGCUCAGACUGUCUCUCUGGGAUCUCAGGUUUGUGCAGUGUGAACACAUGGCCAAGAGAGGGCAGGCAGAGGCACCAGACCCCCACGUGGUGCAGGUGAGCUGGUCCUCGCUGGAUCAGCUGCCCAGCCUGCUGGGCCCAGGCAUCCUUGUCCCCUUUAACAGGUGAGGACUGAGGGAGACACAGCUGAGUAAAAACCACUGACCUGCCAUCUACACAUUGAGGUCAUUGGAAUGAUGGCCACAUGUCAAGGUUUUUCAGGCCCUUCUGUGUCUCAACAGCUUCUGGAGGUGCUGGCUGAACUAAGGCCAAGCUUAGAAAAGACAGCCCCAAUCUCUGAUUCCGAUAACCCACCAACCUUUCCUAGUCCCGACCUGCAGGCUCCGGUCCCUGGGUCCUGCUGUGUUCUGAGGUUCCAACUGCCUUGUGCAGGGGCCUGGAACCCUGAGCCUUUCCCAGAUUCCUCUCCAAGCCGAGGACCAGAUCACCAGAGCCUUGAGUCACCUGGACCUCCCGAGCAUUUUCUGUGGAAGGAAUCUUUGGCUCCAGCAAGAAGCAGAACAGUUGAUUAAAACGUUUAUUUUCCUGCGAGGAAAGAGAAAGGAGAGUCUUCGGUUUCUCCUACCUGAUACCCUGACUGUGGCUCCUGUCCCCACUGUGCCUGCUCAGGAUGUGUCUCUGCUGUGUUGUUACCAUGGCCCCCUGCCCAUCUGCAGCAAGUAAGGUUAUUCCCUUGCAUUUGUGCAAGGCAACCAAGGAAACUAAAACUUUAAGGAGGAAAGAAAUGAGAGAUGAUAACAGAUUAGCAAUUUGCAAAUUAUCCUAAGGAAAAAUGUCCUAUUAAGAAAAAAAUGAUGAGCACAUGCUAUUGAAGGGGGGUGGGGGACCAUGGCUGGGGAGAAGAAUGGACUCUAGCUCGCUGAAAUUACAGUAUUGUCCCGUCUCCAACUAAUAGGCUCUGUUCCCUGACAAUACACUAAAUAUAUCGUUUAUUAAGCCCAUUAUCCUGCAGACCGCAGUUAGUCACAUCUCAAACAUUGCCACAUUUAUGAAAGACAGUUACAGUCAUUUGCAAGAUAAUUACCAUUUUAAUCUCAAACCAGCCUGCAGGAGCAAAUUGCUUUAUAAGUAACCAGGUUUUCAGCAUAUCAUGACGGAAUGCUGUGCAAGCCCUCAGACACUUCGGGCUUGUUUUGCAGUUUUCUACAGUGUGGGGAAACCUGCCCUCCUGGGGCUGGGUAGAGAUGGGAGACAGCCUCCUGUUCUGCGUCUGAGGGUGGACACUCAUAG
rnacentral:lncRNA from 1 species